AUACGGAGGCUGCGAGCGUUACUCGGAGUCACUGGGCGUAAAGCGUCCGUAGGCGGUCGGGUAAGUCGGGUGUGAAAGCCCCGGGCUCAACCUGGGAAGUGCACCCGAUACUGCUCGACUCGAGUGCGGGAGAGGAUGGCGGAAUUCCCGGUGUAGCGGUGAAAUGCGUAGAGAUCGGGAGGAACACCAGUGGCGAAGGCGGCCAUCUGGCCCGCAACUGACGCUGAGGGACGAAAGCGUGGGGAGCAAACAGGAUUAGAUACCCUAGUAGUCC
rnacentral:rRNA from 1 species